UACGUAGGUGGCAAGCGUUGUCCGGAUUUAUUGGGUUUAAAGGGUGCGUAGGCGGUUUUUUAAGUCAGUGCUGAAAUACUCCAGCUUAACUGGAGGGGUGGCAUUGAUACUGGAAGACUUGAGUACAGAUGAGGUAGGCGGAAUUGACGGUGUAGCGGUGAAAUGCAUAGAUAUCGUCAAGAACACCGAUAGCGAAGGCAGCUUACUGGGCUGUAACUGACGCUGAUGCACGAAAGUGUGGGGAGUCAAACAGG
rnacentral:rRNA from 1 species